rnacentral:rRNA from 1 species
GACAGAGGUGCCGAGCGUUAGGCGGAAUCACUGGGCUUAAAGCGUGUGUAGGCGGGCCGUUAAGUAUCUUGUGAAAUCCCCCGGCUCAACCGGGGAAUGGCUGGAUAUACUGGCGGUCUUGAGCGAUCUAGGGGCAGAUGGAACAAGUGGUGGAGCGGUGAAAUGCGUAGAUAUCACUUGGAACGCCAAAGGUGAAGACAGUCUGCUGGGGAUCUGCUGACGCUGGAGACACGAAAGCCAGGGGAGCGAACGGG